GACGAACGCUGGCGGCGUGCUUAACACAUGCAAGUCGAACGGAAAGGCCCUGCUUUUGUGGGGUGCUCGAGUGGCGAACGGGUGAGUAACACGUGAGUAACCUGCCCUUGACUCUGGGAUAACUUCAGGAAACUGGGGCUAAUACCGGAUAGGAGCUCCUGCUGCAUGGUGGGGGUUGGAAAGUUUCGGCGGUUGGGGAUGGACUCGCGGCUUAUCAGCUUGUUGGUGGGGUAGUGGCUUACCAAGGCUUUGACGGGUAGCCGGCCUGAGGGGGUGACCGGCCACAUUGGGACUGAGAUACGGCCCAGACUCCUACGGGAGGCAGCAGUGGGGAAUAUUGCACAAUGGGCGGAAGCCUGAUGCAGCAACGCCGCGUGCGGGAUGACGGCCUUCGGGUUGUAAACCGCUUUCGCCUGUGACGAAGCGUGAGUGACGGUAAUUGGUAAAGAAGCACCGGCUAACUACGUG
rnacentral:rRNA from 1 species